CGCUAAUGCGGCCACGCCCACGGAGCCAGCGCUAUUCAGACGCAAAUUCAGUCAAUACAUGCAUACAUCGUCUCAAUCGUGUAUUUAUUGUCUUGAAAAGUGUUUAUCUGGAUGUUAAAGCGUUGUUGUAAAGCAUGGUUAGCGAACUCUAGAAGACAUGGGCUGCAUCCGAAACCGCAUACUUCUCUACUAUAUAGUAGGGGAAAAGCAGUAGGCGAGCGAAAAAGUAUGUCCGAAUCCUUAGUAUUCAUAAAAGAGUAGGCGAGAAGUACCUGGGUGAUGUCUAAUUCUCGCGAGAUUCGGACGUGCGUCUACGUAAAGUGCGUCCGAAUAUGCCUACUUACCUACUAUACAGUAGGGGGAAAACAGUACGUGAAAGGAGCAGUAUGUCCGAAAUCCUCAGUAAUCAUAAAUGAGUAGUCGAGAAGUUCCCGGAUGGCCUACUGCUCCCGCCCAGAUUCUGAAGUGUGCAUCCGAUGGACACUCUUCUAUCCCAGGAGGCCACGGGAGAGGUACGUCACACUCGAACACGGAGGAUAAAAGUGGCGCGGAUGUUUUCAAAUGGACAGAUGAGCACACGUGUGUUUAUCCGGUGGAGAGAGGCUGAUGAAGGAAUGAUGGCGUCAAUGGCUUUGAAGUUAUUACAGCACUUCUGAUUCUUGAUGUCGGUAUGUUU